AUGAACAACGCAGGGGUGAGAACAGGAGGAAGGUUCCUUCUGUGUUUCCACAUGAACAAUGCAGGGCAUUUCAGGUGUCUGUUUUAAUGAGCGAUGGAGAACAGGGGAGAAGGGGGAGGAGGGCCUCAGCAUCCCAUAAACACAGGUUGCCACGGCGGCGGCUGUCUGGUGUCAGACACUUCAAAGCAAGGCUGUGCCAGGUGUAUUUACAAACACAACAGUAUUUACUUUGUGUGAGCGCUGCCUUAUGUGCCAUGUUCUGACUGAUCCCUGGUUCUGAAUAUCAUAUGCCAGGACGGAACGUCCUGUCUGGUACAUAAAACAGAAGAGGCAUCAGGGGCAGAAGAUGUUUGUCAGCAGUAUGGCAACGCUGUACGAGGCUCUCCCGAGUUGUGCGCUCCUCCGCUGAAGAACAUGGCAGAGGUGGGAGAGAGACUUGUUGAGAGGCUGACAUGGACAUCCUGGGGCUGAGAGGCGAGGAGGGGUCAAGCCUGAAGAUACUGGAGAGAAUGAAAGAUAAAGAAAAUAUGAGA